UUUGCGGUCUCCUAUGUACAUUUAGGUUUUGUUUAGAUGGAUGAAUUUCUUGUUCGGUAUUUCUUCAUGAUUUAGGUUCUGAUUAAAUAUUGGAAUAAGUUUAUUCUUUAAGCCACCGUUUGGUUCAGGGUUAAGUAAAAACUUAUUAUUUUAGGGAUAGAGUUAAGUUCAGAGUUAAUGUUAGGUUAGAGUAAUUUUGUAUUUGGUUGAGUAUUUGGUUUAGUCCAGAUAUAGAUAAAAUAGUAUUUGGUUGGAGUAAUGAGGUGGGGUCAGGUAGGAUGGGGUUGGGUUAUAACCCCACCUUCCAAAUUGGGUGUUUAAAAAUAACUUCGGGGUUAAGAGGUUAUUCCAUCCAUUAACUCCGAACCAAACAGGUGCUUAAAGCUAUCCAAGAAUAACUUAUUCUGUUUAAGAGUUUUUUAGUAUAAAUGUAAGUAACGAGUUUGAUAUUUGCUUUUUCGAAGGUAUUUAUGAUUUGGGAGUAUAGCAUAUUUUACGUGAAAAAAUGACUGGAAGUCCAAAUAUAAUAUUUUAUUCUAAAUAUUUGAUUACAUUCUUUACUAAUCAUAUGUAUAAAAAUUCUUAAUUAAAUUUAAAAAUAUACUGGACUAGAUAUUCAUAAUUCAUAUAUCCAAACAGGAUCUUACUCAAGAAAUUAGUACAUUUAGUAUAUAAGGAGUGUGAUCAAAUAUUUAAAAUUAGAUAUUAUAUUUGACCUCAUUGAUAAAAUAUGUUAUUCUAUCAGAUUAUAAAUAUCACAACCUCUUAAGAUCUAAAAUUUAAUCUCUAUUUUUAUCAUCACACUAGAAAACUCACAUACUUG
rnacentral:lncRNA from 1 species